AUUGAACGCUGGCGGCAUGCCUUACACAUGCAAGUCGAACGGCAGCACGGGGCAACCUGGUGGCGAGUGGCGAACGGGUGAGUAAUGUAUCGGAACGUGCCAUUGAGUGGGGGAUAACGUAGCGAAAGUUACGCUAAUACCGCAUAUACCCUGAGGGGGAAAGCAGGGGAUCACAAGACCUUGUGCUCUUUGAGCGGCCGAUAUCAGAUUAGCUAGUUGGUGAGGUAAAGGCUCACCAAGGCGACGAUCUGUAGCGGGUCUGAGAGGAUGAUCCGCCACACUGGGACUGAGACACGGCCCAGACUCCUACGGGAGGCAGCAGUGGGGAAUUUUGGACAAUGGGCGCAAGCCUGAUCCAGCCAUGCCGCGUGAGUGAAGAAGGCCUUCGGGUUGUAAAGCUCUUUCGGCCGGGAAGAAAUCGUACAGGUUAAUACCCUGUGUGGAUGACGGUACCGGAAUAAGAAGCACCGGCUAACUACAUGCCAGCCGCCGCCGUAAAAC
rnacentral:rRNA from 1 species